GACGAACGCUGGCGGCGUGCUUAACACAUGCAAGUCGAACGGAAAGGCCCUGCUUUUGUGUGGUGCUCGAGUGGCUAACGGGUGAGUAACACGUGAGUAACCUGCCCUUGACUUUGGGAUAACUUCUGGAAACUGUGGCUAAUACCGGAUAGGAGCUCCUGCUGCCUGGUGGGGGUUGGAAAGUUUCGGCUGUUGGGGAUGGACUCGCGGCUUAUCAGCUUGUUGGUGGGGUAGUGGCUUACCAAGUCUUUGACGGGUAGCCGGCAUGAGAGGGUGACCGGCAACAAUGGGACUGAGAUACGGCGCAGAAUCCUACGGGAGGCAGCAGUGGGGAAUAUUGCACAAUGGGCGGAAGCCUGAUGCAGCAACGCCGCGUGCGGGAUGACGGCCUUCGGGUUGUAAACCGCUUUAGCCUGUGACGAAGCGUGAGUGACGGUAAUGGGUAAAGAAGCACCGGCUAACUACGUG
rnacentral:rRNA from 1 species